AUUGAAACAUUGGUUCCCAUAUGAUCACUGACGUUAAGCAACAUUGAGCCUGGUUAGUACCUAGAUGGGUGACUGCUUGGGAAUAUCAGAUGCUGUAAU